rnacentral:rRNA from 1 species
CAAGUCGUGGGGCAGCAGGGGCGUAGCAAUACGCUCGCUGGCGACCGGCAAACGGGUGCGGAACACGUACACAACCUUCCUUUAAGUGGGGAAUAGCCCGGGGAAACCCGGAUUAAUACCCCGUAAUAUAAUGAAGUGGCAUCGCUUUAUUAUUAUAGCUCCGGCGCUUGAAGAUGGGUGUGCGACUGAUUAGGCAGUUGGCGGGGUAACGGCCCACCAAACCUACGAUCAGUAACUGGUGUGAGAGCACGACCAGUCACACGGGCACUGAGACACGGGCCCGACUCCUACGGGAGGCAGCAGUAAGGAAUAUUGGUCAAUGGACGCAAGUCUGAACCAGCCAUGCCGCGUGGAGGAUGAAGGUCCUCUGGAUUGUAAACUUCUUUUAUCUGGGAAGAAAUCCACGAAUUCUUUUGUGGUUGACGGUACCAGAUGAAUAAGCACCGGCUAACUCCGUGCCAGCAGCCGCGGUAAUACGGAGGGUGCAAGCGUUAUCCGGAUUCACUGGGUUUAAAGGGUGCGUAGGUGGGUUGGUAAGUCAGUGGUGAAAUCUCCAGGCUUAACUUGGAAACUGCCAUUGAUACUAUCAAUCUUGAAUACCGUGGAGGUCAGCGGAAUAUGUCAUGUAGCGGUGAAAUGCUUAGAUAUGACAUAGAACACCAAUUGCGAAGGCAGCUGGCUACACGAAUAUUGACACUGAUGCACGAAAGCGUGGGGAUCAAACAGGAUUAGAUACCCUGGUAGUCCACGCCCUAAACGAUGGAUACUCGACAUACGCGAUAUACUGUGUGUGUCUGAGCGAA